UAUUAGGGUUUCUUGAUGUUCAAAACCCAAAUUUUGGGUUUUUAAUUUUUUUGUUAGUUGAUAUGAAUUAAGUUUUAAUCUUCAUUUUAGCCAAAUGAUUAUGUUAAAUAUAUGUUAAAAAAUGAAUUGUGGAUCAAAUGCUAAUUGAAGUCGGUGUUGAUUGAAGUUCUUGUUGCAUUAGAUGUAACAUGUUAUUUGUUUUGCUAUAGAAAUUACCGCUUUCCUCUUCUCUUUCUUCUCAACCACAACGCUUCAGGAAACUGUACACCGGUUACCAUAUCUCUUCUCUAGCUUGGUCAAUCUAAAGUUGCACACAUGCUUCAAGAAACUCACAACCAUCACAUAACUACAAAAAUUCUUUAUAACUGUACUCCAAAUGUUAAUCUUGCAAGUGUUUUCUUUUGACUUGUAAAAUUAUUGGUAUUUAGGGAUUCAUAUUUUUUUUUUGAUCCCAGCUUCCAUAUGUGAAUAAGAAGUCGGAAGUAGCAGAAGGUCAUUAUUUUAACUGUAUAUGCACCCACCUUCUUCGUCCCUUUGUCAACAGUUGGGUUUUUCACCAAUUCCUGACCUAACCCCAUGAAGAGCAGAAAAGUAGACUAGGGUAAUCGAUGAUUCCAAUAGCCAAAUAAGUCUUCAUUCGGAGCUGGCAAUUCCAACUUCAGUCCUCCAUAGCCCAUCUAUGGAUUUCUUCAAAACAUUUCUCCAAAGCUCAGGUGUAAGAAGGCAUCUUAUAUUGUUGUUGAUUAUACUCGCCAAUCACGUCUUAGCAAUUAGCAUUGUUGCUUUCUACGCCCAACUUCUUCCUCUUUUAUCUACUCUUCAAAGGCAGAUGGAAUGAGCUAAGUGUCUUUGGCCUUUGGAAAUUCUGCCAAGGAAGAUGGUGCCACUAUAGCUACCAAUAUCGAGGUUUCAAUUUCCCAAUCACUUGCAAAUUGCUUAUAGUCGCAAGAAACCGCUUGCAAAUGCCUGAAACUGCUGUAGGAAACUGCUAUAGUCGUUGGUAACCACCGAAAACGGCGCAAAAUUGCUGGAAAAUGCUCCCCCACUAGCGCACCCCAGUUGACUUUCAGUCUGGAUCCGCCAAUGAUGAUAUGUUGUCGGUAUAUGUUGCGAAAAUUAUAAUUUCUAUUAUAACAAAUUAUUGAAAUUGUCCCUAUGGUUUGUGAAAAAUUGCGCAUUUUGUCUCUAAGGUUUUUUUUUACUCAGACCUUCCCUAAGUUGUGAUUUUGUAAUGUCAGUCGCCCCUAUCCCCUAUCAGACAUAAAAGGACUAUACUGCCAUUUUUAUUUUUUUUUCAUUUAUUUAUUAUUGUUUCUUUAAAAUUUAUUUGUAUUAUUAAAUUAUUCUUUAUAUUUGACAAAUACGAGAUGGAACCCCAUUUCUUGCUCCUACUUCUCUCAUUUUCGACAAACUCUGCUCGUCGGACAUCAUCUUCAACCACCUCUUCUCAUCGGUAACCACCCUUAUUCUCACUCUCACUUACCGGAGAUGAAGAUGAACAAUUGCAAUCAUAUAAAAAUCUCAGCAAACCCAAAAAAAAUACCAACCCUCGCACAUCCCAUUCAUAACCAAAACCUACAACUCUUUGGAACUAAUAUGACUCCAUUUUUCAAAUCUAAUUUCAAUCUCGAAUUCAGAAAGAGAAUCCAUAUACGGAUAAAAGAAUUUGAUUUCAUAAAGAGGGUCCAGAGACGUGAAGUUGUAAAGAAAAGGGAGGGUGGGGGUAGUGUUAGCUUCGGUAGAUGGAGACAUAUUGGUGAGAGCUAGAAAAAGGCUCAUGACAACAACAAUGGUGUUAGCACCAACGUAUCUAACUUAUGAAUGAUUGUUCAAAUCUAAUAAAAAAUAACACAAACACUAAAUCAGAGUUUAGAUCUAGGUCUGAUGGCAUAUUGUUUACUCCAGUGGCAACAACAUAGAUAUGUGAGGUCACCGGCGAAUACGGGUCUCCGAUGGUGCAGAGGUUUUUGAUUUUGGUCCCCGGUGGAUCCCUAAACCACUGAACAACUUCUAGAAACGAUGAGAUGCAGCUACAUAUGGAAAAGAUGAGAUGAAUUUUGUAUUCUGCAAAUAACUUUAGAGAAGAGAGAGGGAGAGGGAGAGUUUAGGAGGGGUUGGUCGAUUGUACCGAUGAAAGGGUGGGGGUAAAAGGGCCAUUUUAUCUUAUUGCAGUUGUUCAUCUUCAUCUCCGGUAGGUGAUGGUGGUUACCGGCGAGAACAGAGAAUAGGUGGUUGGAAAUGGCUUCCGACGAGUGGAGCUUGUCGGAAAUGGUUGCCGACAAUGAGAGAAGUAGGGACAAGAAUAUGGAGGUCCAUCUUGUAUUUGUAAAAUAUAAAUAAUAAUUGAAUAAUAAAAAUAAAGUUAAAAGAAAUAAUAAUAAAUAAAUGAAAAAAAUACAAAAAGGGCAUUAUAGUCUUUUUAUGACGUUACAAAAUCAUAACCUAAGGACUGUUCGA